rnacentral:tRNA from 1 species
GCAUUGGUGGUUCAACGGUAGAAUUCUCACCUUCCACGCAAGAGACCUAGGUUCAAAUCGCGCCCAAUGCA